GCCCCCUUAGCUCAGUGGCAGAGCACCAGUUUUGUAAACUGGCUACCCCAGUUCGAUUCUGGGAGGGGGCU
rfam:Elusimicrobia bacterium RBG_16_66_12 RBG_16_scaffold_4230, whole genome shotgun sequence.